rnacentral:piRNA from 1 species
UCCNCUGUGUGGUUUGCCUUAAGUUGUGUAGC